GACGUGACUUCAGAGUUUGAUCCUGGCUCAGGAUGAACGCUAGCGGCAGGCUUAACACAUGCAAGUCGAGGGGCAGCAUGAUUUAACUUUCGGGUUAGAUUGAUGGCGACCGGCGCAAGGGUGCGUAACGCGUGAGCAACUUGCCCUUAUCAGGGGAAUAACCGUUGGAAACGACGACUAAUACCCCAUAGUAUCACUUUAAGGCAUCUUUUUAGUGAUUAAAGAACUUCGGAUAAGGAUAGGCUCGCGUGACAUUAGCUAGAUGGCGGGGUAACGGCCCACCAUGGCGACGAUGUCUAGGGGUUCUGAGAGGAAGGUCCCCCACACUGGAACUGAGACACGGUCCAG
rnacentral:rRNA from 1 species